rnacentral:rRNA from 1 species
UUCCCAGACUCCUACGGGAGGCAGCAGUGGGGAAUAUUGCACAAUGGGGGAAACCCUGAUGCAGCGACGCCGCGUGAGUGAAGAAGUAUUUCGGUAUGUAAAGCUCUAUCAGCAGGGAAGAAAAUGACGGUACCUGAUUAAGAAGCCCCGGCUAACUACGUGCCAGCAGCCGCGGUAAUACGUAGGGGGCAAGCGUUAUCCGGAUUUACUGGGUGUAAAGGGAGCGUAGACGGUUGCGCAAGUCUGGAGUGAAAGGCGGGGGCCCAACCCCCGGACUGCUCUGGAAACUGUGUAACUGGAGUGCAGGAGAGGUAAGUGGAAUUCCUAGUGUAGCGGUGAAAUGCGUAGAUAUUAGGAGGAGCACCAGUGGCGAAGGCGGCUUACUGGACUGUAACUGACGUUGAGGCUCGAAAGCGUGGGGAGCAAACAGGAUUAGAUACCCGCGUAA